rnacentral:rRNA from 1 species
GAUGAACGCUAGCGGGGUGCCUAACACAUGCAAGUCGAGGGGUAUGAUUCUUUCGUGGAUCGGAGACCGGCUCACGGGUGCGUAACGCGUAUGUAAGUAACCUCAUUCACUGGGAUAGCUCUUCGAAGGGAGCAUUAGUACCUACUAACUCUAAUGUGGUCAUCCAUUUUGGUUGAAGGAUUUAUUGGACUGGGAUGGAGAUGCGUCAGAUUAGCUAGUUGGAGAGGUAACGGCUGACCAAGGCAAGGAUCAGUAGGGGGCCUGCGUGGGUGCCCCCCCAGACUGGGACUGAGCCACGGACCAGACUGCUACGGGAGGGAGCAGUGAGGAAGAUAGGACAGGGGGUGAGAGCCUGAUCCAGCGAUCCCGGGUGCAGGAAGGCGGCGCUAUGGGUUGUGAACUGCUUUUGGAAGGGAAUAAACGACCGUACGCGUAGGGUGUUGAAGGUACCAGACGAAUAAGCACCGGCUAACUACGUG